GCAUACGACACCCAAAGUUCUGUCCAAGAAUAUUUCCUUUGAGUGCUAUUUGUAUUGCAGAAGUAGUAGCCGUAGCGGAGUUCGGCAAAUUCUUCACAAACAAAAUAAUAAAUAUGAAUUCAAAUUUAAAUUACUGAAAAUGUUAGUAUCGCAUGUGCCACCUGACUGACUCGCCAGUGCGUAUGAAACGAUUAUCUUGAAGAGAGGAAAGCCCAAGAACUAAUCAGGCUGGUAUAGCUAGGCCUAUCCAAAAGGAUUAAAAUGGAAUACGAGUGCCAUACGAGGGUCAGUGCGCGCCAGUCGAACGUCUAAUCCUACACGAAAUUGACCUUUGAUUGGAGGAAAAUCAGCCCCACUGUCACCAACGUGCAUUAAGCAGGAACAGGAGGCCGUCCAAAGGACACACCACCCCCGAAGCAGCCAACCCACACAACGACAAAUGUCGCCAUCAUCGGCCUCGAUGCUGCCGCCACUCCAGCAGCAGCAGAAACUCCGACCGCGACGACUGCUGCCUGGAGAACGAGCCGGUUGCAUCUCUCGAGGCGGCAAAUGGUGGCAUUUUCUCUCUGGAUGCCGGCAAUCUGACAGCGGAGACAGCUUUCCUUGCCGCUGGCCCCGGGGGCCUGGGAAUACGCUACAGGCGGCGACACAGCGCGGAGAAGUUGAGUGCAUAAGACUUGAAAAUAUGGUUUCAGCAAAUCGAGGAAUUUGGCUUCCAGCCUCAGGGCGAGCACCUGAUCACCGGAUGUGAUGGAUCCGCAACCAGCAGGAGAAAAACGAGGAGCACGAGCACCACGAUCACCACGAGGCACUCUUUCCACACACACACACAUAUAGUAUAGACGCCAUACAUCCACAUCAACAUAAACAUGCUCUUAGACCGCUCGACUCGUUGUCGACUCGGAUGACGUCCACAUUUGUUACCAGAGAUAAUUAUAAUUUAAUAAAAGAAAAAGAAAAUUUAA